rnacentral:rRNA from 1 species
UUCAUCUAAAGCUAAAUAUUGGCCAGAGACCGAUAGCGCACAAGUAGAGUGAUCGAAAGAUGAAAAGCACUUUGGAAAGAGAGUUAAACAGUACGUGAAAUUGUUGAAAGGGAAGCGCUUGCAACCAGACUUGCAUGCCGUCGAUCAUCCUGGGUUCUCCCUGGUGCACUCGGCGGCGUUCAGGCCAGCAUCGGUUUUGGUGGUUGGAUAAAGGCCUUGGGAAUGUAGCUCCUCUCGGGGAGUGUUAUAGCCCUCGGUGCAAUGCAGCCUACCGGGACCGAGGACCGCGCUUCGGCUAGGAUGCUGGCGUAAUGGUUGUAAGCGACCCGUCUUG